UACGAAGGGGGCUAGCGUUGCUCGGAAUCACUGGGCGUAAAGGGCGCGUAGGCGGCGUUUUUAAGUCGGGGGUGAAAGCCUGUGGCUCAACCACAGAAUGGCCUCGAUACUGGGACGCUUGAGUAUGGUAGAGGUUGGUGGAACUGCGAGUGUAGAGGUGAAAUUCGUAGAUAUUCGCAAGAACACCGGUGGCGAAGGCGGCCAACUGGACCAUUC
rnacentral:rRNA from 1 species